CACCUAUUGCCUGCAGGCAGCUGCUUGGUCAAGGGAACAUCCUGUACACGCCUCCUGAGAGCAAGACACAACAUACAGGGUGGUACCGGUUCAAUCAAGAUGAUGUGCCUGCUGCCCACAGGGUGUGUUUGCUCACCCAACAGGCACGAUGGAUACAGAACGUCUUUGAAAUCCAUAAAACACCACAUAGAAUAUGAUUACUUUCAAAAUAAUCAGGUCUGCCUGGCACUGAGGACACGACAGUCAACAGAAAUGAGAUGCUCUCUACUCUCAGGGAACUUCCUAUCUGACAGGAGACAAAGAAGAUAUUUGGGAAGCCUGAGACCUUUGCCACAUCUAGGCUGGAGGGGAAAGUCCCUGCAAAGGACCAGCAGAAUGCUAGAAGUUACUGAAGGAGAGGAAAGCAAGUCGAACCCCCGGACCCAAGGCAAAGGAAGAAAGAGCUGCAGUGAGAUCCAAUAUGAGAAAAUGGACAACUGAAAGAUCUCUGCAGGAUUUCAACAUUCCUAUUAGGGCAGGAGAAGGGUGCAUCAAUAUCCAGACAGCAUUUUUAGGAUUCACGCCUUCCCUCGCCCUAGGUUCGCUUUCUGGUAAUGUUACUAGUUAUACUCCAAGAUGGCGUUGGCCUGAACAGUUGACUCAGAGAAGAGGAU
rnacentral:lncRNA from 1 species